UGAGAUAAGUUGGUUGUGGAAGAUUGCUUAUGUAUCAGCUGCUGCAAUUUUUCUCGUCUCCUGUUCAUCAAUUUUUGUUGCAGUAGUUGCCUUUGGAGCUUGCAUACUUUUGAGGAUACCAUUGGGAACAGGAAAGGUUCUAACAGCACUUGCAACUUUUAGGACAUUGCAAAAUCCCAUUUUUGCUAUUCCAAAGACAAUCUCAAUGUUAGUUCAGACCAAAGUUUCUCUUGAUAGAAUAUCAUCAUUUCUCUGCCUUGAGGAUUUGCAACCAAAUGUUGUAGAGAAGCUCCCUCGAUGUAGCUCAGAGGUAGCUAUUGAAGUUAGCAAUGGAAAUUUCAUGUGGGAUCCCUCCUCUAAAACUCCUACUCUGAAAGAUCUAAAUUUCCAAGUUUUGAAAGGAACGAUGGUCGCUGUUUGUGGAACUGUUGGUUCUGGUAAAUCAAGCUUGCUGUCUUGCAUUCUUGGUGAAGUCACAAGAAUUUCUGGAACUGUCAAGUUAUGUGGUACAACAGCUUAUGUCUCUCAGUCACCCUGGAUUCAAAGUGGUAGCAUUCGAGACAAUAUAAUUUUUGGAAAGGAAAUGGACAUAGACAAAUAUGACAGAGUCCUAGAAGCUUGUUCUUUGAAGAAGGAUUUGGAGAUCAUGCCUAAGGUGACCAGACAGUUAUAGGAGAAAGAGGCAUAAAUCUUAGCGGAGGACAAAAGCAACGCGUACAAAUUGCCCGUGCCAUAUACCAUGAUGCUGACAUUUAUAUGUUUGAUGAUCCAUUCAGUGCUGUUGAUGCCCACACAGGAUCUCAUCUCUUUAAGGAAUGUUUGCUUGGAUUUUUAUCUUCAAAGACAGUGGUCUAUGUCACACACCAGGUGGAGUUUUUACCUUCAGCUGACCUUAUCCUGGUCAUAAGAGAUGGAAGGAUUGUACAAGCAGGCAAGUACAAUGAGAUAAUUAACUCAGGAACAGAGUUCAUGGAACUGGUUGGUUCUCAUAUAGAUGCUUUGGCUGCACAUAACAUGAUAAAACAUACUUCUAACACUUCAAGUGACACUAUUCAAGGUGGUCCUUCUGCCUCAAAGUCUAGUGUACCAGUUCCUCAACAAGCAGAAUCGAAGGAUCCAGAGAAUGGUCCAUCAGAUGAAGUUAGGCCGAGGGGUCAGCUUGUUCAAGAAGAAGAGAGGGAGAAAGGCAAAGUGGGGUUUCUGAUAUAUUGGAGGUAUAUUACGAUGACAUAUAAAGGGGCACUUGUUCUGUUAAUAUUAUUUUGUCAAAUUCUUUUUCAAGUCCUUCAGAUAUGUAGCAAUUAUUGGAUGGCUUUGGAGUCUCCUCUGUCAGAUGACUUGGAACCUCCUGUAAGUGGCUCAAUGCUUAUAUCUGUAUAUGUAGCAUUGGCUGUUGGGAGCUCUGCUUGUAUCCUAAUAAGAACCCUCCUUCUUGUAAUUGCUGGAUACAAGACUGCGACAAUGCUAUUUGAUAAGAUGCAUGCAUGCAUUUUUCGUGCACCCAUGUCAUUCUUUGAUUCCACCCCCACUGGGCGUAUUUUGAAUAGAGCUUCAACUGAUCAACGUGGAGUAGAUACAUACAUUCCAUUCCAAAUUGGAUCAUUUGCAUUCUCAAUUAUAAAUCUUCUGGGGAUUAUUUUAGUCAUGUCACAAGUCGCAUGGCCAGUUUUGAUCAUCUUUAUUCCUGUGGUUGCAACUUGUAUUUGGUAUCAGCAAUACUACAUAUCUACUGCACGAGAACUAUCAAGGUUGAUUGGGGUUUGCAGAGCUCCUGUAAUCCAACAUUUUGCAGAAUCAAUGUCAGGAUCAAUUUCAGUUAGAGGCUUUGGUCAGGAAAAAGAGUUUGUGAACACUAACUAUAAUCUGACAAAUGAUCUCUCUCGACUUCAAUUCCAUAGUACAGGUGCUAUGCAAUGGCUUUGUUUUCGUCUCGAUAUGUUGUCAUCCCUUACAUUUGCCUUCUCUCUGAUAUUUCUGAUCAGCAUGCCAGAAGGUGUAAUCGAUCCUGGUAUUGCUGGCCUUGCAGUGACAUAUGGGCUUAGUCUGAAUAUGAUACAAACAUGGGUCAUCUGGAAUCUGUGCCAGCUUGAAAAUGGAAUUAUUUCUGUGGAGAGAAUACUACAGUAUACAAACAUUCCUAGUGAACCACCUCUUGUCAUAGAUGAAAACAGACCUGAUCAUAUCUGGCCAUCAAAGGGGGAAAUAGACCUUCUUAGCUUGCAGGUUCGUUAUGGCCUCGACAUGCCUUUUAUUUUAAGGGGUCUCACUUGCACUCUUCCUGGAGGUAAAAAGAUUGGAAUUGUUGGAAGAACUGGAAGUGGCAAGUCCACCCUUAUACAGACAAUAUUUCGUAUUAUUGAUCCUACUGUUGGUCAUAUUUUCAUCGAUGGCAUUGACAUUUCAACAAUUGGGCUGCAUGACCUGAGAUCCAGAUUAAGCAUUAUCCCGCAAGAUCCAAUUAUGUUUGAGGGAACUGUGCGUAGCAACCUAGACCCACUUGAAGAAUAUACAGAUGAGCAGAUAUGGGAGGCACUGGAUUGCUGUCAACUUGGAGAAGAGAUCAGAAAUAAGGAAUUGAAGCUCGACUCUGAAGGUAUCAGAUUUUAAAUUGUGGUGAUAUUUAUAGUCUUAAUAUAAAAUUUCUUCCCAGUUAGUUUUAACUUAGAAAUAUGCCGAUAAAAUGAAAGGUUCUUUGCCACUGUGUUUUUCUAUGAUCAAUUGAUUUAUUAUUUAUACUGACCAAUUUGAGUUGCAGUAACUG